rnacentral:rRNA from 1 species
UACAGAGGGGGCAAGCGUUGUUCGGAAUUACUGGGCGUAAAGGGCGCGUAGGCGGCCUACUAAGUCGAACGUGAAAUCCCCGGGCUUAACCCGGGAACUGCGUCCGAUACUGGUUGGGCUUGAAUCCGGGAGAGGGAUGUGGAAUUCCAGGUGUAGCGGUGAAAUGCGUAGAUAUCUGGAGGAACACCGGUGGCGAAGGCGGGUCUCUUGGCAGUAACUGACGCUGAGAAGCGAAAGCGUGGGGAGCGAACAGG